rnacentral:lncRNA from 1 species
GUUCGCUGGCGCCCGGAUGUCUGAGCUCUGGCUCCGCUCUGGCUCCGGCUCCCUCCGCAGCCUGCGGGCGGGGCUCCCAGCCCAUCCGGAGCCUCGCGGCGCCCCUGCCGCUCUGCCAGCAGCGCGGCCUCCCGGUUCCCAGCCUCCCGGCCUGGGGGGCCCCCCCGCCCAGCCGAGUUGCUGACCCGACUGCUUUCCCGCUGCCCCCAGCUGCGCUCGGGCCGCUGCAGCCUCGGCGCGCCCCCACCCCGCUUCCUGCCUCGGCAGCUUUGCCCGGACCGGGCGGCCGCCCUGGAUCGCACCCCGUUCCUUCCUUCCUUCAUUCUUUCAGGCAACUCGCAUUCCUCGAGCGCCUGCGACGUGCCCCGUACAAGGCCUCUCCGACCUUCGGAGUGUGGCCCACCGGGGUCCUCCCAGAAGCCUCUGCCCUCCUCACCCCGCCCUGGACUCUCCUCUCUGAUGUCCUGUUUCACUCAGAGGGUAGCAUUUAAUUGUUCUCUGAUUAUUUCUCCUGUUAAGGGUCAGUCGGUGGCAAGGUCAAGGGAGGGCUUUGUGACCGAAAUCAGGGGUCAGUCUGAAAGUAGGGUGAGGGAUCAGAAUGUGGCCAGAGUUGGGGUUCAGCCAAACCGUGGCAGGAUUUGGAGAUAGUGUGGGUAGGAGUUGGCAGCGCUCUGUCUAUGGCCAGGCUUUAUAGACAGGGAGGGUGUGAGGGUUAGUGUGAAUAGCAUCAGUAGCCAAGAUUAGUGAGUCAGUCUUUCGGUAGGGUCAGUGGACAAUCUGGAUCAGGGUAAUAGGUCACCCAGAGACCAGGAUUUGGGGGUUGACUUUGACAAGCCAGUUAAGGGGAGGAGGGCGCUGUAGCUUUCUGAACUCACAUUAGUGGUUCCUCUGUGGGCAGGGGGUGGGGGUGGUGGUGACCAUAGCUUCCCCCUGCAUCGUCCAGGUGGAGCUGGCCUUCCGUCUAGGACACUCAUUGUCCUCAACAACACCCUGCUUUGAUCAUGUGCCAGAUGUAGGGGAGGGGUAGGUAAGGGGGGCAAAACUCUCAUUGGAUCAGACCAUGGUCAGAAUGGCAGUAACACUGGCCAUGGCAGGGAGGCCCUAGGUGUCCCAGGAACCCCAUCUUGGAGUCACCCAUGUUUAACAGGGCCCCUGGCAGGUCUUACAGUGGGACCAGAUGUAUGAAGGCAUUGACUUAAAAAAUAUGCACAACCUUAAAGCUCUUUUAAAUCUUUGUACAAACCAACGCCGCAUAGAAUGGUCUUCAAACAGCCAUCACAGCCCUGCUGUGCUUUCUGUGAGUUCGGGAAUCAGACAGAUGCUGGUUGAAAAUGCGGGCUUUGUCGUCUAGCAGCUUUCCCAUCACAGGUAAGUCAUUUAUGCUCCCAGAGCCUCCGUGGUUACUGUGAUGAUUCAAGUAGAUGACAUAUGUAAAGCACCUGGCACUUGGGAGGCCCUGGGUGACCCCCCACCCCAGGGCCUGCUGGGCAUGGUUGUCAGAUUCCUCACAGAAUUCUUCCAUCAUCUCUCCUGGUGGUGGUGUGGUUGGCCCAGUCCAGUCACAGCAUCUCAGCACUGCCUGUCCAGCCUCUGUGCUCUUCAGAGCCCUUCCACACACAUGCAGGAGUAUCUGAUCAGCAGGACAGCUCGGUGCAGGGACUGAAAAACUGGGGCUGCACCCCGGGGUCCCCACUCUUAGGCUCUGCCACUUCGAACAAGCUCUUUCACCUCUCUGAGCCUCAGAGAGCCACCACAGAGCCCUGCUGAGGGUUUAGUGAGGAACUAAAGGCAAGCAUCUAGGGGCCUGCUAGCACGUGGAGGCACUCAGUAAGUCAGAGGCAGAGUUAGGAAUAGUCCUAUUUCACAGAAGAAGAAACUGAGUCCCUCAGGGGGUAAGUGAUUCAUCCAGUGUCAUGUGGAAAGAUCCCUUCACAGACCUGGGAUUAAAAACCACAUCUUCAGAGUUCCCCUUUGUGGCUCAGCAGGUUAAGAACCCAACAAUUGUCUGUGAGGAUGUGGGUUCAAUCCGGGGCCUUGCUCGGUGAGUUAAGGGUCUGGCAUUGCCACAAGCUGUGGUGUAGGUGGCAGAUGAGGCUCAGAGCUGGCAUUGCUGUGCCUGUGGUGUAUGCCAGUAGCUGCAGCUCAGAUUUGACCCCUAGCCGGGGAACUUCAAUGUGCCGCAGGUACAGCCAUUAAAACAAAACAAAAAAAAAC